rnacentral:rRNA from 1 species
GAUGAACGCUGGCGGCGUGCUUAACACAUGCAAGUCGAACGGAAAGGCCCAAGCUUGCUUGGGUACUCGAGUGGCGAACGGGUGAGUAACACGUGGGUGAUCUGCCCUGCACUUCGGGAUAAGCCUGGGAAACUGGGUCUAAUACCGGAUAGGACCACAUUUUGGAUGGUGUGGUGGAGAGUUUUUCGGUGUGGGAUGAGCUCGCGGCCUAUCAGCUUGUUGGUGGGGUAAUGGCCUACCAAGGCGUCGACGGGUAGCCGGCCUGAGAGGGUGUACGGCCACAUUGGGACUGAGAUACGGCCCAGACUCCUACGGGAGGCAGCAGUGGGGAAUAUUGCACAAUGGGCGCAAGCCUGAUGCAGCGACGCCGCGUGGGGGAUGACGGCCUUCGGGUUGUAAACUCCUUUCGCUAGGGACGAAGCGUUUUUGUGACGGUACCUGGAGAAGAAGCACCGGCUAACUACGUG